rnacentral:rRNA from 1 species
AGUGGCGGACGGGUGAGUAACGCGUGAGAAUCUGCCUUGGGGUCGGGGACAACCACUGGAAACGGUGGCUAAUACCGGAUAAGCCGAUUGGUAAAAGAUUUAUUGCCCGAAGAGGAGCUCGCGUCUGAUUAGCUAGUUGGUGAGGUAAGAGCUCACCAAGGCAGCGAUCAGUAGCUGGUCUGAGAGGACGAUCAGCCACACUGGGACUGAGACACGGCCCAGACUCCUACGGGAGGCAGCAGUGGGGAAUUUUCCGCAAUGGGCGAAAGCCUGACGGAGCAAGACCGCGUGAGGGAGGAAGGCUCUUGGGUUGUAAACCUCUUUUCUCAGGGAAGAAGCUCUGACGGUACCUGAGGAAUCAGCCUCGGCUAACUCCGUGCCAGCAGCCGCGGUAAUACGGAGGAGGCAAGCGUUAUCCGGAAUUAUUGGGCGUAAAGCGUCCGCAGGUGGCGAUUCAAGUCUGCUGUCAAAGCACGGGGCUUAACUCCGUAAAGGCAGUGGAAACUGAAUAGCUAGAGUGCCGUAGGGGUAGAGGGAAUUCCCGGUGUAGCGGUGAAAUGCGUAGAGAUCGGGAAGAACAUCGGUGGCGAAAGCGCUCUACUGGACGGCAACUGACACUCAGGGACGAAAGCUAGGGGAGCGAAUGGGAUUAGAUACCCC